GGGCCGGUAGCUCAACCUGGUAGAGCACUGGACUUUUAAUCCAGGGGUUGCGGGUUCGAAGGGAUAAACGCAAAAAGCGUUUAUGCACGGAAGUCCCGUCCGGCCCG
rnacentral:tRNA from 1 species